rnacentral:rRNA from 1 species
UACGUAGGGUGCGAGCGUUGUCCGGAUUUAUUGGGCGUAAAGAGCUCGUAGGCGGUUUGUUGCGUCGGCUGUGAAAUCCCGAGGCUCAACCUCGGGUCUGCAGUCGAUACGAGCAAACUAGAGUGUUGCAGGGGAGACUGGAAUUCCUGGUGUAGCGGUGAAAUGCGUAGAUAUCAGGAGGAACACCGGUGGCGAAGGCGGGUCUCUGGGCAACAACUGACGCUGAGGAGCGAAAGCGUGGGGAGCGAACAGG